UACGAAGGGGGCUAGCGUUGCCCGGAAUCACUGGGCGUAAAGCGCACGUAGGCGGGUCCUUAAGUCAGGGGUGAAAUCCCGGAGCUCAACUCCGGAACUGCCUUUGAUACUGGGGAUCUUGAGUCCGGAAGAGGUGAGUGGAACUCCGAGUGUAGAGGUGAAAUUCGUAGAUAUUCGGAAGAACACCAGUGGCGAAGGCGGCUCACUGGUCCGGUACUGACGCUGAGGUGCGAAAGCGUGGGGAGCAAACAGG
rnacentral:rRNA from 1 species